CUUGGGCGGCCUACCAUGCAGUCGAGCGGUAGCACGGGGAGCUUGCUCCUGGGUGACGAGCGGCGGACGGGUGAGUAAUGUCUGGGGAUCUGCCUGAUGGAGGGGGAUAACUACUGGAAACGGUAGCUAAUACCGCAUAACGUCGCAAGACCAAAGAGGGGGACCUUCGGGCCUCUUGCCAUCAGAUGAACCCAGAUGGGAUUAGCUAGUAGGUGGGGUAAUGGCUCACCUAGGCGACGAUCCCUAGCUGGUCUGAGAGGAUGACCAGCCACACUGGAACUGAGACACGGUCCAGACUCCUACGGGAGGCAGCAGUGGGGAAUAUUGCACAAUGGGCGCAAGCCUGAUGCAGCCAUGCCGCGUGUAUGAAGAAGGCCUUCGGGUUGUAAAGUACUUUCAGCGAGGAGGAAGGCAUUAAGGUUAAUAACCUUGGUGAUUGACGUUACUCGCAGAAGAAGCACCGGCUAACUCCGUGCCAGCAGCCGCGGUAAUACGGAGGGUGCAAGCGUUAAUCGGAAUUACUGGGCGUAAAGCGCACGCAGGCGGUUUGUUAAGUCGGAUGUGAAAUCCCCGGGCUCAACCUGGGAACUGCAUUCGAAACUGGCAAGCUUGAGUCUUGUAGAGGGGGGUAGAAUUCCAGGUGUAGCGGUGAAAUGCGUAGAGAUCUGGAGGAAUACCGGUGGCGAAGGCGGCCCCCUGGACAAAGACUGACGCUCAGGUGCGAAAGCGUGGGGAGCAAACAGGAUUAGAUACCCUGGUAGUCCACGCCGUAAACGAUGUCGACUUGGAGGUUGUGCCCUUGAGGCGUGGCUUCCGGAGCUAACGCGUUAAGUCGACCGCCUGGGGAGUACGGCCGCAAGGUUAAAACUCAAAUGAAUUGACGGGGGCCCGCACAAGCGGUGGAGCAUGUGGUUUAAUUCGAUGCAACGCGAAGAACCUUACCUACUCUUGACAUCCAGAGAACUUUCCAGAGAUGGAUUGGUGCCUUCGGGAACUCUGAGACAGUGCUGCAUGGCUGUCGUCAGCUCGUGUUGUGAAAUGUUGGGUUAAGUU
rnacentral:rRNA from 1 species